rnacentral:rRNA from 1 species
AUUGAACGCUGGCGGCAUGCCUUACACAUGCAAGUCGAACGGCAGCGGGCCUUCGGGUGCCGGCGAGUGGCGAACGGGUGAGUAAUGCAUCGGAACGUGCCAUUGAGUGGGGGAUAACGUAGCGAAAGUUGCGCUAAUACCGCAUAUUCUGUGAGCAGGAAAGCAGGGGACCGCAAGGCCUUGCGCUCUUUGAGCGGCCGAUGUCAGAUUAGCUAGUUGGUGAGGUAAAGGCUUACCAAGGCGACGAUCUGUAGCGGGUCUGAGAGGAUGAUCCGCCACACUGGAACUGAGACACGGUCCAGACUCCUACGGGAGGCAGCAGUGGGGAAUUUGGACAAUGGGGGCAACCCUGAUCCAGCCAUGCCGCGUGAGUGAAGAAGGCCUUCGGGUUGUAAAGCUCUUUCGGCCGGGAAGAAUCGCAUGGGUGAAUACCCUGUGUGGAUGACGGUACCGGAACAAGAAGCACCGGCUAACUACGUGCC